AUAUACAGUUCGUCUAAACAGCGAGGCUUCUUUACACUUGGACGUUGCACCUUUUAUUAUCAUGUUUUUCGGAUAUUUAACAAUUAGUUACCUUUUUGCUUAUUUGUUGUCUGUAAUGACAGAAAUUCCCUGUAUAUUGUUAACGGGAAUAUUUUUUAAAUCUUCGAGAAGAAAAAAUACGUCUCCCAAAAUCGAAAUAACGUAAUUAUGAGACUGUACUCGUAUAAAUUCAACCAAUCAGCGACGACGAGACAAAGACAGAGAUCCUAGUUGUGAUGCUCUCUAUCGCGGACAGCUCGCACAAUGGCAAGAUGCGUUCNAUAUUAUAGUUCAGUGACUGUUAUCAUAAAAGUGUUAAAAGUUUUAGAAAUUUCAUAUCCAUGAAUAUGAAUAUUAUACUCUAAAGUUUCAUAUAUAGAACAUAAAAAUAAUAGUUUAUUAUUGUGAACAAUUAGAUUUACGAUUUCUCCAAAAAUAGGACCUAUAAUACUAUUAUAAUCUAAUUAUCACAAUCAUUUCAACCUAAUAUCGUGUUCCUUUGUAUUCCACCCAAUUAGUAGUAAAACACUUUAGUUUUUAAUGUUGAUAGCAUAUCUUUAAUUAACUCAUACUUGUCAAUUGAAAAAAUAUCACAUAUUGUUCCUGGACNAACUUUCAUUUGAGGCAGUAUACUUUCAUGUGCUUUUAAUUUAAAAGAAAAUUGGCACUUCCGGUGGAGCUAGCGAGAAGUGUGCAUGUGCGUGAAAGCAAGUAGCUAGUGGUAAAAAGUAAAAAAUUGGCAAAAGAAAGAACGUAGUACAGAGGAAAGAGUGACGAGAAGAAAAAGAAAGGAUAAAAAAAGACGAGGAAUAGAAGGUGAAAGGACAUAUAAAGGAGAACAAGGACUAAGNCCGAGGUAGGAGAAAGAAGAUAAGUUAGGAGUCGGAAAGAAGCGGGAAAAAACAGGAAGAAAGCAGCAGAAAGAAUAACAGAGCUGGAGGAGAUGAAUGAAAAAAGGGAGAGAAGAGAAAGGAAGAACAAUAUAGUUAUAAAAGGAGUGAAGUGGAGAGAGGCGAAAAGGCUGGAUCAGGAAGUGAAGGAAUUCAUAAGAGAGAGCCUGAAAGUGGAUGUAGAAGUGAAAAAGGUAAGCAAAAUAAGAAUAAACGAUAGUAAAAACAUACUGGUUGUAGAGCUAGACAAUUGGGAGCAAGAAAGGAAAAUUAUGCGCAAGAAGAAAAAGUUGGAAAAAGAUGUAAUAGAAGAUGAUCUAACAAGAAAAGAAAGAGAAAUACAGCAAAAAUUAAGAAAAAUGGCGAGGGAGGAAAGAGAAAAAGAAGAUGAUAAAGUAAAGGUGGGCUACAUGAAAAUUAGUUUGAAGGAGAAGUGGUAUAGAUGGAACGAGAUGACAGGAAAUCUGGAGGAAGAAAGAGGAAGGAGAGACUGAGAGCACGCCACACAAGGUUGUGUUCCGAUUCUCCACCCGAGUGCAACCGAGUGUCAUUUUAUCUUUGUUUUAUGUCUAGUGAGUGAUAAAGAUAAAGUAUACUCGGUGGUAUACUUUUGGUUGAAAGAAAAGGAUAGGAAGUGUAGGGUAUGUAGGAAAAAAAUAGAAGGUAUUACACAUGUAUUGAAAGAAUGCAGGAAGACUCGAGACGAAAUAUCAGAAGAAGAGUUUUUGAAAGAAGAUGGCAAAGGAUAUGAAAUAAUGAAAAGAAUAGAAGAAGUAAGGAGGAAAAAGAUGAACGGGAGAGAAAAGAAAAAAACGGAAGAAACAAGGGAAUGACGUUGGAAGGAAGAUGAAGGUGCCAAAGGAACAGAGUGAUAUUAGGUUAAGGACAAUAAGAAUAAUAAGGCAAGAUAAGAAGGGACAGUAUUAUAUAGAUAGAAUAUUUGCAAUUAAAGGAUUCUACAAAUCCAGUUAUACUAUGCAAACCGAGAUUAUUACCUAAAAGAAGANCGAAAAUAAAAAAUAUUUUUUUGUACUUUUGUGAAGUAUUAAUAAUUAUUCCUUCAGUUUCUAAAAAUUGUANUUCUUCAAUCAGAGGCAAAAAUACUUUUUCAUUGCCAAACCAUUUUCUAUCUUCGCUAUGAAACAAUAAAAUUAAAAAAAUAUUAUCUAAUUCAGAUUGACAUUCGGGUAGAAGACAAGGAAUUGCACAAUAAACAGCGCCUAAUUUAUUGCAAUGAGAUCCCAAAGGAUUAUUAGGUUCAAAAUCAUCAUAAUACACAAAAAAAGGCAGGAUUAUCUCAUCUUCUUUAUAAGAUGCAGUUUUUUGUUUCCAAAGUGAACUUUGAAUAAAGUUUGAAAAGUAG